rnacentral:pre_miRNA from 1 species
UAGGCACAGAAAGUGAAGUGCAGCCAAGGAUGACUUGCCGAUUCUUUCUCUUAUAUCCAUUCAGUUUUACCAACACUAGCAACUCAUAUGUAAAGACGAAUUUAAAUCGGCAAGUUGUCCUUGGCUACAUGUUUCUUUUUGCUCCAC